GAUGAACGCUGGCGGCGUGCCUAAUACAUGCAAGUCGAGCGAACAGACGAGGAGCUUGCUCCUCUGACGUUAGCGGCGGACAGGUGAGUAACACGUGGAUAACCUACCUAUAAGACUGGGAUAACUUCGGGAAACCGGAGCUAAUACCGGAUAAUAUAUUGAACCGCAUGGUUCAAUAGUGAAAGACGGUUUUGCUGUCACUUAUAGAUGGAUCCGCGCCGCAUUAGCUAGUUGGUAAGGUAACGGCUUACCAAGGCAACGAUGCGUAGCCGACCUGAGAGGGUGAUCGGCCACACUGGAACUGAGACACGGUCCAGACUCCUACGGGAGGCAGCAGUAGGGAAUCUUCCGCAAUGGGCGAAAGCCUGACGGGGCAACGCCGCGUGAGUGAUGAAGGUCUUCGGAUCGUAAAACUCUGUUAUUAGGGAAGAACAAAUGUGUAAGUAACUAUGCACGUCUUGACGGUACCUAAUCAGAAAGCCACGGCUAACUACGUG
rnacentral:rRNA from 1 species